rnacentral:rRNA from 1 species
CACGUAGGGGCCAAGCGUUGUCCGGAUUUAUUGGGCGUAAAGAGCUCGUAGGCGGUUCGACAAGUCGGGUGUGAAAACUCCGGGCUCAACCCGGAGACGCCACCCGAUACUGUCGUGACUGGAGUCCGGUAGGGGAGUGGGGAAUUCCUGGUGUAGCGGUGAAAUGCGCAGAUAUCAGGAGGAACACCGAUGGCGAAGGCAGGUCUCUGGGCCACUACUGACGCUGAGAAGCGAAAGCGUGGGGAGCGAACAGG